rnacentral:rRNA from 1 species
AGCAGCCGCCACGGGAAUACGUAGGGUGCAAGCGUUAAUCGGAAUUACUGGGCGUAAAGCGUGCGCAGGCGGUUAUAUAAGACAGAUGUGAAAUCCCCGGGCUCAACCUGGGAACUGCAUUUGUGACUGUAUAGCUAGAGUACGGCAGAGGGGGAUGGAAUUCCGCGUGUAGCAGUGAAAUGCGUAGAUAUGCGGAGGAACACCGAUGGCGAAGGCAAUCCCCUGGGCCUGUACUGACGCUCAUGCACGAAAGCGUGGGGAGCAAACAGGAUUAGAUACCCCCGUAGUCCCUGUCUCUUAUAC